rnacentral:ncRNA from 2 species
UGAUAGCGAUGAAGCGAGAGGUUGCUGUUUAGUGUAAAACAUAUGCUGGCAGGUUUUCCGUGGAGCGAAUGUCAAGUUAGGAAACUGGCGACAA